AUGACCUACGCUAAAAAGUUGGAAAACCAGUUUACUUCCAACCACUCAACUUCAGUGUGGAAAGGACUGAGAGCCAUCACUAACUACAAGACACCAUCCCCCUGCACUGAGGCAAAUCAACGACUUGCUAACGACCUGAAUGAGUUUUAUUGUAGAUUUGAAAGACCCCACACCCAUUCUGACCAUCUCUGUACACAACCGUUAACACCUCCUGCAAUCCCCCUCUCCACACUUCCUGCUGGCCACAUACCUGUGGCUCUUAUGUCUGUCGUCAUGAAGUCGUUUGAAAAACUGGUUCUAGCUUAUCUGAAGGACAUCACUGGACCCUUACUGGACCCCCUGCAGUUUGCUUACCAAGCAAACAGGUCAGUGGAUGAUGCAAUCAACAUGGGAUUGCACUUCAUCCUGCAACAUCUGGACAAAACAGGGACUUAUGUGAGGAUCCUGUUGUGGACUUUAGUUUGGCUUUCAACACCAUCAUCCCAACAGCCCCUCCAGACUCUCCAGCUCUCUGUUCCUAGCUCUAUCUGUCAGUGGAUCACCAGCUUUCUGACAGACAGGCAACAGCUAGUCAGACUGGUGAAAUUCAUGUCAAAAAGCUGCUCCAACAACACUGGUGCCCCUCAGGGAUGUGUUCUCUCCCCACUGCUCUUCUCCCUCUACACCAACGACUGCACCUCUAAAGACCCCUCUGUCAAGCUCCUGAAGUUUGCAGAUGACACUACAUUCAUUGGCCUCAUUCAGGACGGUGACAAAUCUGCUUACAGACAAGAUGUUGAGCAGCUGGCUGUCUGGUGCAGUCUUAACAACCUGGAGCUGAACACUCUUAAAACAGUGGAGAUGAUAGUGGACUUCAGGAGAAACCCCCCUGCACUCCCCCCACUCACCAUCAUAGACAGCACUGUGGCUGCAGUGGAGUCAUUCAGAUUCCUGGGAACCACCAUCUCUCAGGACCUGAAGUGGGACAAUGACAUUGACUCCAUUGUUAAAAAGGCCCAACAAAGGUUGUAG
rnacentral:lncRNA from 1 species